AAUAAAUACAGUCGUGAGUACUCGUGUCCAACGUUUGACCGUCAGUCUUAUUUAAAAAUUUUAUAUUUUUUUUAAAAAAUAGUCUUACAUAAAGUAUUAUUCAUGUUUUAUCAUCUAAUAAUAAUAAUAAUAAUCACAAUUUUUUUUCAAAUAAGACGAACGGUAAAGCGUUGCAAAACUGUACUUAUU
rnacentral:pre_miRNA from 1 species